GUGAGUCUUCUGGUAGUUUUAGUACUUGGUUUUAAGAUCAUCAAUGCUUUUGGCACUUUCUUGAUUUGAAUGUUCUUUUGUGGGUUCGACUGACUUCUGCACACUUUGGUGUCAUCUCCUGUUGUGCUGGAAUUUGUACGUAGUUUUGUGGUUUGACUAAUUCAUGAUCCUUGUUGGAAUAUCCUUAAUGGUGGGAUCUGCACUAUCUCUGUCCUGUCGUGGUUUUCAUCAGAAUCAUCAAAAAGUUACCUUUAGGGAUACAUACUAAUAAACAAAUGUGUGGUGCACAUCAUUUUAUUUAAGUUCCAAGCAAUCUUGAAGGUUGGGAAUCAAGGUUUAACUUUUACUUUAAAUGUAGAUAAUUAUUGGGAAUAUGAUGUUCAUUUAGAAAUUUCGUGAAGGAGCAGAAACUGGAAAUAGUUUUUGUAGCGUACUUCCUGCUUCAGAAUAAAUGACAAAUAAUCCUGCAGAAUGGUUUCUUUCAUUUAUCUUCCUCCUGUCUUUGAAAGUACAAAUUUAUGUAUCGUUGUUGAAAUAAAAAGAAGAAAGACACAAACUCUAAAUUGAUACGGGCUGCUGUUACAGGAGGAGUGACUUCAAUGGAUGACUUCUUGAUAAAAUUCUUCCCCAAAGUGUACGAAAGGAAACACCACCAUUUGACUGAAACAGAUUAUUGUAAAUAUGAUAAUCAGGUUCUCACUCUCUUUACCUCCUCCCUGUACUACGCUGCACUUCUUUCAACUUUUGGGGUGUCAUACGUGACCAGAAAUAAGGGCAGGAGGAUGAGCAUUAUGUGUGGGGCAGUCAGCUUCUUUGCUGGAGGACUUAUCAAUGCAGCAGCCGAGAACAUUGCGAUGCUGAUCAUUGGCCGAUGCCUGCUUGGUGUCGGCAUUGGGUUUGGGAAUCAGGUAAGCCAUUUAUCCUACACACCGAGUAAUUCGUGUGAAAAAAAAAUAAAGAAGAUUGUCACAUAUGCUCGUUUUGUACCUGUUUCUGCAGGCGGUCCCUCUGUAUCUUUCAGAAAUGGCACCUGCUAAAAUCCGAGGAGCAGUUAACCAACUGUUUCAACUAACAACCUGCUUGGGAAUCCUUGUUGCCAACUUAAUAAAUUAUGGUGUCCAAAGCAUUCAUCCAUGGGGCUGGAGGUUAGCCCUCGGUUUAGCCAUGGUUCCUGCUGCUAUAAUGUUCGUUGGUGGACUUUUUGCUCCAGAGACCCCAAACAGUCUUGUUGAACAGGGUAAACUAGACGAAGCAAGAAAGGUGCUGGAGAAAGUGAGAGGGACACCUAACGUGGAUGCUGAAUUUGCUGACCUAUUAGAAGCAAGCGAAGCAGCACGAGCUAUAAAGAAUCCGUUCUCAAAUCUGUUAAAGAGGAAGAACCGCCCCCAGCUUAUAAUAGGAUCCCUUGGUAUUCCAGCGUUCCAACAGCUCACUGGCAAUAACUCCAUUCUUUUCUAUGCCCCUGUCAUAUUCCAGAGCUUAGGUUUUGGGUCCAAUGCCUCCCUUUACUCCUCUGUCAUUACAAAUGGUGCACUAGUUGUAGCUGCCUUGAUCUCUAUGUCUCUCGUUGACAAGUUUGGCAGGAGAAAAUUUUUCCUCGAAGCUGGUUGUGAAAUGAUAAUCACCAUGGUAUGCUGUCUUGCAAAGUACUAACUACAUGAAUAUGACCUCUGGCUUAUGAAUAUAAUCUAACAGGUAGACGUUUUCUUCAUCUAAAAUACAUCACGCUAUUGACUGAUAUGCAGGUUGCUGUUGGUGUUACGCUGGCUUUGAAAUUUGGAAAGGGUGAGGAGCUCUCCAAAGGAAUUAGUGCUUUCCUUGUCAUUAUGAUCUUCGUGUUCGUUCUGGCUUAUGGAAGGUCCUGGGGUCCUCUGGGUUGGUUAGUUCCAAGUGAGAUCUUUCCCCUGGAGACGAGGUCGGCUGGCCAAAGUAUUGUCGUUAGCGUGAAUAUGCUCUUCACGGCUCUUGUUGCUCAGUUUUUCCUGAAAGCUCUCUGCGGACUUAAAUUCGGUAUCUUUUUGCUGUUUGCUGGUCUAAUAAUUUUCAUGAGCUGCUUUGUAUACUUCCUCUUGCCCGAGACCAAGCAAGUCCCAAUAGAGGAGAUCUAUUUGCUGUGGCAAAGCCACUGGUUUUGGAAGAGGUACUGCGCACCUGAUGGCAAUGAAGAUGGACAGGAGAUACAAAAACCAAGAAAACCCAAUAAUGAAACAGCCUAGAGAAUAGGUCUGAGGGAGCUACUUUCUUUCUGUGCCUAAUUAUUUUGCGUCCUGACAUACCUAGGGCACAUUUUCUUUUGCUUUUGUGUUU
rnacentral:lncRNA from 1 species